AUGGGGAGCGGCGAUAACGAAGCGCCUAAUAUUCAGUUUAAAAAGAAGAAGAAGGCGAAAUCUUUAAGGAAACGCGAAGCUCUCUCGGAUGACAAUGAGAAAGUCGAGGAGAUAAAGAUCACUCAGAAACUCAGCGAGAGAUCGGUUGGCGUCGAUAUUGUUAGUUUGACACACGCUCGAAGAAAGCGUCUCAUCCGAUGUGUUUACGUUCUUUAAUAUAACGGAUUCCUUUAAUAUGAAAACCGAAGAAAUGGUAAAUAUGCGUUGAAGAAUACAAAACAUAACAAUGCAUACAUAUGACACGCAUUGGAACGCAAUUUAAUGCAGAGACCAAUAAACGCAAUAAGGAUGAAGAAAUAGUCAAGUAUAUAGAACAAGAAUUGUUGUAGUAAAAAUAAUAACAAUACAGUAAAUAGUACGAAUAAUGAUAAGGAAUGAUAUUACUCACCAGAGAAAGCAGCGUUACACACGGUACCAGAACAUUUGAGGCAAAGCUUGACCAUUUGUAGCAAGGAAAUGCUUUCGAAUCAAAUACUAUUUGGUAUUCCAGAAGUCGAUCUUGGCAUAGAAGUCAAAAUUUGUAACAUUGAGGCUAUAGAGCAAGUGAAAUUAAAACUUCUUUGGAACAGACACAGAAAAAAAAAAGGGCCCUCACGGUUUGCUCCUACAAAUAUGGCUGUGAAUUUUGUGCAACACAACAGAUGUUUCUGUAACUUAGAACAAAAUGCAAGUUUUGACUUAAGGCGAAAAAGAAAAGGAAGGGAAAAUAGGACAAAAGAACAGUGCAAAAAAUACAACGAAAAUAACAGCGGGCGAUAAACACGCACUUUACAAACAUUACGACCAGGAGGGAAAAUUUUAAAUCGAACACAAAAUCCAAGUGUAAAGAUCAAAGUCGAUUCAUCUAUUAUCUACCGUCUAAUCAAGUCUCCUGAAAUCAAGAAGAUAGAUACGCUCUUAAACGUCUCGAUUACUCUUCUUAUCUUUCUCGAUCCUACGAUUCAUCUGUAUGUAUUAUAAAUCGUAAUAUUUAUCAGAAAUUUGGGAGAUUUAAGAAAUUGUUUAGGAGAAAAACUCGGAUAGCAAGAUAAUUUUUGCUACAAUCAUGUCGAAGAUUUACAAUUUUGUCUUUUCAUAUAUCAAUAAGAUAUUUCAAUGCAAUUAAAAGGAAAAUUCUGCAUCCAAAUCCUGUAAAGUAUACGAUUUUACUGAUGUUAAUUAAAAUUUAUGUUAUUAAAAAUAUGCGACGA